rnacentral:rRNA from 1 species
CCCGAUGCAAACUGCGAAUACCGGAGAAUGUUAUCACGGGAGACACACGGCGGGUGCUAACGUCCGUCGUGAAGAGGGAAACAACCCAGACCGCCAGCUAAGGUCCCAAAGUCAUGGUUAAGUGGGAAACGAUGUGGGAAGGCCCAGACAGCCAGGAUGUUGGCUUAGAAGCAGCCAUCAUUUAAAGAAAGCGUAAUAGCUCACUGGUCGAGUCGGCCUGCGCGGAAGAUGUAACGGGGCUAAACCAUGCACCGAAGCUGCGGCAGCGACACUGUGUGUUGUUGGGUAGGGGAGCGUUCUGUAAGCCUGUGAAGGUGUGUCGUGAGGCAUGCUGGAGGUAUCAGAAGUGCGAAUGCUGACAUAAGUAACGAUAAAGCGGGUGAAAAGCCCGCUCGCCGGAAGACCAAGGGUUCCUGUCCAACGUUAAUCGGGGCAGGGUGAGUCGACCCCUAAGGCGAGGCCGAAAGGCGUAGUCGAUGGGAAACGGGUUAAUAUUCCCGUACUUGGUGUUACUGCGAAGGGGGGACGGAGAAGGCUAUGUUGGCCGGGCGACGGUUGUCCCGGUUUAAGCGUGUAGGUGUGUGUUCCAGGUAAAUCCGGUUCACUUUAACACUGAGGCGUGAUGACGAGGCACUACGGUGCUGAAGCAACAAAUGCCCUGCUUCCAGGAAAAGCCUCUAAGCAUCAGGUAACAUCAAAUCGUACCCCAAACCGACACAGGUGGUCAGGUAGAGAAUACCAAGGCGCUUGAGAGAACUCGGGUGAAGGAACUAGGCAAAAUGGUGCCGUAACUUCGGGAGAAGGCACGCUGACACGUAGGUGAAGUGAUUUACUCAUGGAGCUGAAGUCAGUCGAAGAUACCAGCUGGCUGCAACUGUUUAUUAAAAACACAGCACUGUGCAAACACGAAAGUGGACGUAUACGGUGUGACGCCUGCCCGGUGCCGGAAGGUUAAUUGAUGGGGUCAGCGCAAGCGAAGCUCCUGAUCGAAGCCCCGGUAAACGGCGGCCGUAACUAUAACGGUCCUAAGGUAGCGAAAUUCCUUGUCGGGUAAGUUCCGACCUGCACGAAUGGCGUAAUGAUGGCCAGGCUGUCUCCACCCGAGACUCAGUGAAAUUGAACUCGCUGUGAAGAUGCAGUGUACCCGCGGCAAGACGGAAAGACCCCGUGAACCUUUACUAUAGCUUGACACUGAACAUUGAGCCUUGAUGUGUAG